CUUGGCCUACGGGGGGCAGCAGUGGGGGAUAUUGCACAAUGGGGGAAACCCUGAUGCAGCGACGCCGCGUGAGUGAAGAAGUAUUUCGGUACGUAAAGCUCUAUCAGCAGGGAAGAAUAAUGACGGUACCUGACUAAGAAGCCCCGGCUAACUACGUGCCAGCAGCCGCGGUAAUACGUAGGGGGCAAGCGUUAUCCGGAUUUACUGGGUGUAAACGGAGCGUAGACGGCUGUGCAAGUCUGAAGUGAAAUGCCGGGGCUCACCCCCGGACCUGCUUUGGAAACUGCACAGCUAGCGUGCAGGAG
rnacentral:rRNA from 1 species